UACGUAGGGUCCGAGCGUUGUCCGGAAUUACUGGGCGUAAAGAGCUCGUAGGCGGUUUGUUGCGUCUAUCGUGAAAACCUGCGGCUUAACUGUGGGCUUGCGGUGGAUACGGGCAGACUUGAGUUCGGUAGGGGAGACUGGAAUUCCUGGUGUAGUGGUGGAAUGCGUAGAGAUCCGGAGGAACACCAGUGGCGAAGGCGGCUGCCUGGGCCUGGCCUGACGCUGAGGCGCGAAAGCGUGGGGAGCAAUCCGG
rnacentral:rRNA from 1 species